CAAACAUCUAGCUAUCACCAGUGUUUGAGUGUUAUGACAUUACUCAAAUCAAAAGGCAGAAAAAUGUGUACUUGUGUACUUCUAUAUUAAAUCUUAAAGAGUACAGAAUCAAUUAAAGGGUGUACAGGAAUCUGAUUUUUAUAAGUAAGGGUCCUCGGUGAUGUUUCAUCAGCUGGAUAAUCUCA